GGGAGGCAUUUGGCGACGAGCUGCAGACGCGGCGCGGCGCGACUAGCAGCCGGCCCGGCUCGCUCUCUGGCUCGCAGCUCUACCCUCCACCGCGGCGGGGACCGACUACCCGCCAGGACCCGAGAUGCCCAACUCCACCGCGUCCCAAUGAUCGCCUACCGAUUCUCGCUACAGAUGCCACUUUGGGAGCCAAGUCAUCUCACGCUGACACCAGGAGAUUUUUCUGUUCUAACUGUCUGCCUGGCCUUUGUGGUGAUUGCUAUCAGAAGGCUCCUGUGUCUGUGGAAUUUUCCCGGCAAGAAUACUGAAGUGGUUGCCAUGACCUCCUCCAGGGGAUUUUCCUGAUCCAGGGAUUGAACCAGCAUCUCAUGUCUCCUGCAUUAGCAGGUGGGUUCUUUACCACUAGUACCACCUGGGAAGCUCCGCCUUAAAUGGCUCCACAGCAGACCCCCACGAUGUCCACUUGGCCCUGCAGCCUUCUCCUCCUACGAUCCAGACUCAUUCAGACUCCAGCUGAUUCGCCUCUACUGCUGUGUCCAAGGUGUUCAGUUGGCCUCUGUGAUGGCUCCCUGGCCCCAGUUUCCAGUCUUCCAAGUAGGGAAGUAAUAACCCACAUGCUCUGCUUGUUGUUUAAAAAUAAAGCUCAUAAGAAGUACA